rnacentral:rRNA from 1 species
UUUAAGGGCCGCGGUAUUUUUGACUGUGCAAAGGUAGCAUAAUCAUUAGGUUUUUAAUUGGGAUCUUGUAUGAAUGAUUGGACAAAAGAAGGACUGUCUUUAUAUUAGAGUUUGAAUUUAACUUUUAAGUGAAAAGGCUUAAAUAUUCUAAAGGGACGAUAAGACCCUAUAAAACUUUACAUUGGUAAUUUAUAUUAUUAAAUUUUAUUAUAAUAAUUGUUUAAAUUUAUUUGUUAUGUUGGGGAGACAAGAAUUAUAAUUUAUAUUAACUGUUUUAAAAAAAUUCAUUAAUUAAUGAUUAAGUUAAUUAAUUGAUCCUUUAUAAAGAUUUAAAGAUUAAGUUACUUUAGGGAUAACAGCGUUAUUUUUUUUGAGAGUUCAUAUCGAAAAAAGAGAUUGCGACCUCGAUGUUGAAUUAAAAGUUCUUUAUAAUGUAGAUGUUAUAAAAGAAGGUCUGUUCGACCUUUAAUUUUUUACGUGAUC